rnacentral:lncRNA from 1 species
ACACUAGUAGAAAACCAAAAUCCAAACCUGAGUGCAGUCACACUGGUAGCAAACCAGAUAUGUCACAUCAUAUGUCACAACAUCAUAAAGGAAGACAGCAGAAAGGGAAACAUCAAAGAUGGAGAUGUCAUUACUGUGGAAAUUUUGGUCACAUAAAACCAUUCUGCUAUAAGUUGUAUGGCUAUCCUAGUCCUUCUCAUCAUCAACC